rfam:Cryptococcus amylolentus CBS 6039 supercont1.9, whole genome shotgun sequence.
AUGCUCGGCCAUAGAAAGUACAAAAUUCCGCGUCCCGUUCGAUCCGCGAAGACAACUUGCUUAUCGCUUGGUCAGUACCAGGGUGGGGGACCACCUGGGAAUCCCGAGUGCCGAGUUUU